GACGAACGCUGGCGGCGUGCUUAACACAUGCAAGUCGAACGGAAAGGCCCUGCUUGCAGGGUACUCGAGUAGCGAACGGGUGAGUAACACGUGGGUGAUCUGCCCUGCACUUCGGGAUAAGCCUGGGAAACUGGGUCUAAUACCGGAUAGGAGCCAUUUUUAGUGUGAUGGUUGGAAAGUUUUUUCGGUGUAGGAUGAGCUCGCGGCCUAUCAGCUUGUUGGUGGGGUAAUGGCCUACCAAGGCGGCGACGGGUAGCCGGCCUGAGAGGGUGGACGGCCACAUUGGGACUGAGAUACGGCCCAGACUCCUACGGGAGGCAGCAGUGGGGAAUAUUGCACAAUGGGCGCAAGCCUGAUGCAGCGACGCCGCGUGGGGGAUGACGGCCUUCGGGUUGUAAACUCCUUUCGCUAGGGACGAAGCUUUUUGUGACGGUACCUAGAUAAGAAGCACCGGCUAACUACGUG
rnacentral:rRNA from 1 species